rnacentral:rRNA from 1 species
AUACGGAGGGUGCAAGCGUUAAUCGGAAUUACUGGGCGUAAAGCGUGCGUAGGCGGCUCGAUUAGUCAGAUGUGAAAGCCCUGGGCUCAACCUGGGAACUGCAUUUGAUACUGUCGAGCUAGAGUUUAGUAGAGGGAAGUGGAAUUCCCGGUGUAGCGGUGGAAUGCGUAGAUAUCGGGAGGAACACCAGUGGCGAAGGCGGCUUCCUGGACUAAAACUGACGCUGAGGUACGAAAGCGUGCGGAGCAAACAGGAUUAGAAACCCCAGUAGUCC